rnacentral:rRNA from 1 species
UACGGAGGGUGCGAGCGUUGUCCGGAAUCAUUGGGCGUAAAGGGCGCGUAGGUGGCCACUUCAAGCGUGCGGUGAAAGUCGGGGGCUCAACCCCUGAUCGGCCGUGCGAACUGGGGGGCUGGAGCACUGUAGAGGCAGGCGGAAUUCCGGGUGUAGCGGUGGAAUGCGUAGAGAUCCGGAAGAACACCGGUGGCGAAGGCGGUCUGCUGGGCAGUUGCUGACACUGAGGCGCGACAGCGUGGGGAGCAAACAGGG